AAACUAACUAGGAUUCCCCUAGUAACGGCGAGCGAAGCGGGAAGAGCUCAAAUUUGAAAUCUGGUGGCCUCAGGUCAUCCGAGUUGUAAUCUAUAGAAGUGUUUUCCGUGCUGGCCCAUGUACAAGUCCCUUGGAACAGGGCGUCAUAGAGGGUGAGAAUCCCGUCCUUGACAUGGACUACCAGUGCUCUGUGAUACACUUUCAAC
rnacentral:rRNA from 1 species